rnacentral:rRNA from 1 species
CUCCAGAAGAGGAGCUCGCGUCCUAUCAGCUUGUUGGUGAGGUAAUGGCUCACCAAGGCGAAGACGGGUAGCUGGUCUGAGAGGAUGGUCAGCCACACUGGGACUGAGACACUGCCCAGACUCCUACGGGAGGCUGCAGUCGAGAAUCUUUUGCAAUGUCCGAAAGGAUGACAAUGCGACGCCGCGUGAGCGAUGAAGCCCUUCGGGGUGUAAAGCUCUGUCAGCCCGGAUGAAUAUCUGCCUUCUAACAAAUGGCAGAGAUGACAGUACGGGCAGAGGAAGCCACGGCUAACUCCGUGCCAGCAGCCGCGGUAAUACGGAGGUGGCAAGCGUUGUUCGGAUUUAUUGGGUGUAAAGGGUAUGUAGGUGUCUUGAUAAGUCGAAUGUGAAAUCCCAUGGCUCAACCAUGGAACUGCAUUUGAUACUGCCAAGAUUGAGUGUGGAAGAGGAGAGUGGAAUUUCCGGUGUAAGGGUGAAAUCUGUAGAUAUCGGGAGGAACACCAGUGGCGAAAGCGGCUCUCUGGUCCAACACUGACACUGAAAUACGAAAGCUAAGGGAGCAAACAGGAUUAGAUACCCUGGUAGUCUUAGCAGUAAACGAUGGGCACUAGGUGUAGGCCGCAAGGUCUGUGCCGCAGCAAACGCAUUAAGUGCCCCACCUGGGGAGUACGGCGGCAACGUUGAAACUCAAAGGAAUUGACGGGGACCCGCACAAGCGGUGGAGCAUGUGGUUU